rnacentral:tRNA from 2 species
AAAAACUUAGGAUAUUAAAACCAAGGGCCUUCAAAGCCCUAAAAAAGGGUGUAAACCCCUUAGUUUUUG